rnacentral:tRNA from 1 species
GGGGGUAUAGCUCAGUGGUAGAGUGUGUGCACGCCCAAGGUCCUGGGUUCAAUCCCUGAUACCUCCA